CAGCCGUAAACUAUGCUCGCUAGGUGUCAGGCAUGGCGCGACCGUGUCUGGUGCCGCAGGGAAGCCGUGAAGCGAGCCACCUGGGAAGUACGGCCGCAAGGCUGAACUUAAGGAAUUGGCGGGGGGAGCGCAACAACGGGUGGAGCCUGCGGUUUAAUUGGACUCAACGCCGGACAACUCACCGGGGACGACAGCAAUAUGUAGGCCAGGCUGAAGACCUUGCCUGAAUCGCUGAGAGGAGGUGCAUGGCGUAGACGUCU
rnacentral:rRNA from 1 species